GAUAGCAGUCAUACACUCUCUGGUGCCAUGAUCCUGUCAUAUAUCAUAAGCUAAUUGGAGUUGGGCUGGGUCAGAACUUAGAUGGGAGACCUCAGAAUCAAUACUUGGUUGCUGCAGGAA
rnacentral:rRNA from 1 species